CUGUUUACCAAAAACAUCACCUCUAGCAUUUCCAGUAUUAGAGGCACUGCCUGCCCAGUGACAUCAGUUAAACGGCCGCGGUAUCCUGACCGUGCAAAGGUAGCAUAAUCAUUUGUUCCUUAAAUAGGGACUUGUAUGAAUGGCCACACGAGGGCUUUACUGUCUCUUACUUCCAAUCCGUGAAAUUGACCUUCCCGUGAAGAGGCGGGAAUAUGACAAUAAGACGAGAAGACCCUAUGGAGCUUUAAUUAACCGACCCAAAGAGAUCUUGAUAAUCAACCGACAGGGAUAACAUACCUCUACCAUGGGCCGACAAUUUAGGUUGGGGUGACCUCGGAGAAUAAAACAACCUCCGAGUGAUUUAAAUCUAGACUAACUAGUCGAAAGUACUACAUCACUUAUUGAUCCAAAAACUUGAUCAACGGAACAAGUUACCCUAGGGAUAACAGCGCAAUCCUAUUUUAGAGUCCAUAUCGACAAUAGGAUUGCGCUG
rnacentral:rRNA from 1 species